rnacentral:rRNA from 1 species
UACAUGUGGGGCUAGCGUUGUUCGGAAUUACUGGGCAUAAAGGGUGCGUAGGCGGCUUGUUAAGUCAGGGGUGAAAGUUUUCGGCCCAACCGGAAAAUUGCCUUUGAUACUGGCGAGCUGGAGUGCGUGAGGGGUGACCGGAACGAGUGGUGUAGCGGUGAAAUGCGUAGAUAUCACUCGGAAGGCCAACGGCGAAGGCAGGUCACUGGUGCGCAACUGACGCUGAGGCACGAAAGCGUGGGGAGCAAACAGG